GAUUCUGCUUUAUGAUAUGCAUAAGCAUAUGAAGAAACAAAGGACUAAAUCUCAAGCAUAAAUUUUGUUCCCCUCUCUCUUCUUCCUCCUUAAAAUUCAUGUUUUUUUAAUGAUUGGAUUCGAAUUAUCUAAAAAAAAAUGGAUUCAUACAAAGCAAAGCAGAAAUCAGAUCAUCGGAAUACAAUGUUUUAAUCAAGAAUUGUGCAACCUUUACCUGAUGGAAAGACGAUCAAGGUAGGUCUCGCGAUCAAUGGGAAACCAUUUGGGAAACUGAUCAAGAAUCCAUGAAAAUGCAAACCAGAUCUCACAAAUGAUAGAGGUUAGCCAUAGCCCCAGUGCAUCAUGUACCGGGUUCAGAAUCCUGUAUCUUAGGAAGAAAGCAAGAAUAACAAGCCUUGCCACAAUCACCAUCCUGUAUGGAUUGAUUUUGCUAGAUGCUAUUGGUACUUUCCUUGACAGUGGUUGCCUUGCUUCAUCUAGCCUGCAAUAACAAUUUACAUAUACACAUAAUUUCUGUUAUUCAUUUGAUCAUUUCAUUAAUCAUUAUAGUUAAUUAUCAAUUACUACAUCA